CAGUUAGCCUGAUUUAAAAAAAUUAUUUAAUAUUAAAAAAAAAACAUAAAUUAUUAACUCUUUUUUCAUUUCACACACAAUGAAGAACCUUCUCUCUCUCUAAAAUCGAAACCCAACUUUCACUUCUAUCUUGGAGCCCAAAUCGGCGGCGACGAUGGCAACAACAUCCGUAGUCCCGGCGAAUCGCCAUUGGAAGCUUCGAAGAGAUGGGGAUAAAAGACGAUUUGCUUCGUGGAAUCUACCAAUACGCCUUCGAAGAGAUGGGGAUAAAAGACGGUUACUGUUUGUCAGGUUGUUGAUACCUCCGUCAGAGAGAAAUUUAAUGGCAUUAGAGAAAGUUUAAUGAUGGGGUUGGUUACAAGAAAAAAGGCAAGCGACGUUUUCAGAUUCAGGAUGUGGAGGUGACACAGGUUGGUUCGUAGCUUGUGUAGACCCAUCAGUCGGUGCAGGAGCACUAUGGCUGGGAUGGUUUGCAGGAAUAUGUAGAGGAAUUGGUGUAUAGCAGAAAACUUUGUAACUGAGAUGGAUGAAUCUGAUGAAAUGUUGAGCAGAGGGUUUAAAGAUCAAAUCUAUGAUGUGUAUAGAUAUCUCCCACCAGAUCUUCAGGUGCGGUGUCAGGGAUCUCUUUGUUGAGGCGCUGGUGCUAUUUGGUUUUGUGCUUCUGUUUGCAGACCUGUGUCUCUUUGCUUUAGGUUAGGAUAGUGUAUUGCAGUAUUGGUAGUAGCAUUCUUUAGUUUUGUUAAGAUAUAUUUAAAUCCAUGAUACUUUUGGUAACCUUGUUUCAUGAAUAUUUUGUAAUUGAAUUUAUUUAUAAUUUGGUAUGAAAUUUGAUUCUUUGA